GGAGGGUGCAAGCGUUAAUCGGAAUUACUGGGCGUAAAGCGCACGCAGGCGGUUUGUUAAGUCAGAUGUGAAAUCCCCGGGCUCAACCUGGGAACUGCAUUUGAAACUGGCAAGCUUGAGUCUCGUAGAGGGGGGUAGAAUUCCAGGUGUAGCGGUGAAAUGCGUAGAGAUCUGGAGGAAUACCGGUGGCGAAGGCGGCCCCCUGGACGAAGACUGACGCUCAGGUGCGAAAGCGUGGGGAGCAAAC
rnacentral:rRNA from 1 species